GACGAACGCUGGCGGCGUGCUUAACACAUGCAAGUCGAACGGAUCCUUCGGGAUCAGUGGCAGACGGGUGAGUAACACGUGGGAACGUGCCUUUUGGUUCGGAACAACUCAGGGAAACUUGAGCUAAUACCGGAUGUGCCCUUCGGGGAAGGAUUAUCGCCAUUAGAGCGGCCCGCGUCUGAUUAGCUAGUUGGUGAGGUAAAGGCUCACCAAGGCUUCGAUCAGUAGCUGGCUGAGAGGAUGAUCAGCCACACUGGGACUGAGACACGGCCCAGACUCCUACGGGAGGCAGCAGUGGGGAAUCUUGCGCAAUGGGCGAAAGCCUGACGGAGCGACGCCGCGUGAGCGAUGAAGGCCUUCGG
rnacentral:rRNA from 1 species